rnacentral:rRNA from 1 species
GAUGAACGCUGGCGGCGUGCCUAACACAUGCAAGUCGAGCGAAGCACUUUGCUUAGAUUCUUCGGAUGAAGAGGAUUGUGACUGAGCGGCGGACGGGUGAGUAACGCGUGGGUAACCUGCCUCAUACAGGGGGAUAACAGUUAGAAAUGACUGCUAAUACCGCAUAAGACCACAGCACCGAAUGGUUCGGGGGUAAAAACUCAGGUGGUAUGCGAUGGACCAGCGUCUGAUUAGCUAGUUGGGAAGGUAACGGCUUACCAAGGCGACGAUCAGUAGCCGACCUGAGAGGGUGACCGGCCACAUUGGGACUGAGACACGGCCCAAACUCCUACGGGAGGCAGCAGUGGGGAAUAUUGCACAAUGGGGGAAACCCUGAUGCAGCGACGCCGCGUGAGCGAAGAAGUAUUUCGGUAUGUAAAGCUCUAUCAGCAGGGAAGAAAAUGACGGUACCUGACUAAGAAGCACCGGCUAAAUACGUGCCAGCAGCCGCGGUAAGAC